UCUAAUAUGGCAGAAUAGUGCAAUGAAUUUAAGCUUCAUACAUAAAGUUUAUUACUUUUGUUAGAA
rnacentral:tRNA from 1 species